AACAAGCUCACUUCGCCCCCACCGGAACGCAGGUCCUCGUCACAGAUCCAAAUUGUGACGAUCAGCCGUCACCAAGCGUCGUUCUCCUGAGCCCUUUAUGCCACAAAAAGCGCAUCACCCUCGUGUGCCUGGUCCAGGGCUUCCACUACGAGUGGCCCCUGGAUGUGAUCUGGGAGCGUGAUGGCGAAAAGAUUAACCGGCUCUCCUUUGCUACUGAGCCAGUCCAGCAAAAAGAGAAGUGCAACUUCGCCACUGCCAGUCGCCUGAGCGUGUUGGCAGAGGAGUGGCAGAAAGGCCACAACUACUCCUGCCAUGUCAACCAAAUAGGGCAGGAGGUGGGUGACUCGGUGAAGAGCAGUCCAGACCACCAGACAGAAUCACCUUCAGGUAUCUCUGAGGUUCAACUCACCCUUUAUGCAGGACACUUUAUAUUCCUCCUACUAGGGGCCAAAAGCUUGGUCUACAGUGUUAUUUUGGCCGUCUACAAGUUCUAUAGGAAAAAAGGUCUCUAAUUGCAUUACCCGCUACAGCAGUAUUCACUCCCUUACCAGCCAAGCACAGAUUUACGUAUGGCUGCAGGCCUUUCUCAGUGAAGAUCCAUUCCAUUCCGAAGUUUCUACAUCCUUCAUCUCAGCCUCUUCCUUCCAGAGGGACUCAUUGGUCACUUUAUAUUAAAUUGUUCUAUGCCUUGAGAAAAUUUCAAUACGUAUUUUCUGCCUCAUAAUAAAGAUGUUAGUGUUUCC